AUUGAACGCUGGCGGCAGGCCUAACACAUGCAAGUCGAGCGGAUGAAGGGAGCUUGCUCCUGGAUUCAGCGGAGGACGGGUGAGUAAUGCCUAGGAAUCUGCCUGGUAGUAGGGGAUAACGUCCGGAAACGGGCGCUAAUACCGCAUACGUCCUGAGGGAGAAAGUGGGGGAUCUUCGGACCUCACGCUAUCAGAGGAGCCUAGGUCGGAUUAGCUAGUUGGUGGGGUAAAGGCCUACCAAGGCGACGAUCCGUAACUGGUCUGAGAGGAUGAUCAGUCACACUGGAACUGAGACACGGUCCAGACUCCUACGGGAGGCAGCAGUGGGGAAGAUUGGACAAGGGGCGAAAGCCUGAUCCAGCCAUGACGCGUGUGUGAAGAAGGUCUUCGGAUUGUAAAGCACUUUAAGUUGGGAGGAAGGGCAGUAAGUUAAUACCUUGCUGUUUUGACGUUACCAACAGAAUAAGCACCGGCUAACUUCGUG
rnacentral:rRNA from 1 species